rnacentral:snRNA from 1 species
GGCCUGAGUUCAACCCCCGGUUCCGCCAAAAAAAAAAAAAGGAAUGAUACAGAGAAGAUUAGCAUGGCCCCUAGACAAGGAUGAUAUGCAAAUUUGUGAAGUGUUCCAUAUUUGU